AAAUAAAACGGCAACACCAAUCAAAACAGCUCAUGGAUGAAGGAUGGAGCGAUAUUAGCGAUAUCAAAAAGUGUAAAAACAUUUCCUAGCCUUCUAGGACAUAAAAGUGAUUAUUUGAGGAAACUGGGAAGCGAGUGGGGGACCCACUGUUCACGCGAGCCAGAAUUCACAGAAAAAGGGAACCAUCAAUGUAAAAAAAUGAUAAAAACUAACAGGAUCCACCCGAAUGUUUGCAGUCAUGGAUGCUAAAGUUCCAAGAGCGGAAACUGCGCUGGACGGACACAAUAACAAUGGCAAUAUCAAUUACGCGGCGGGUGACCCUUCGUUCCACUAUGCUGAAAAAAACAAGUCAUAUCAUGAUAUGGGAUCAAACACAGUGCCGAAAGUGGAGGUCCCGCCGUCGCGGCCGUGCGCCGUGGUAGGGCCGGACCGCGCGGCGCCGCGGCCGGGGGAGCCCUGCGGCCGCGCGCGCCCCGGGCCCUGGCCGCACCCGCGCCCGCUCGACUACCCCGCCAAGCUACCCGACUACCAGCAGCUCAACAGAAACAUAUCACCCCGACAAACAUUCCAAGAAAACAUGCAGAGAAUCAUGGUGCCUCCCCGCUCCCUUGCAUCCUCUGAAGAUGCUAUAUAUACUAGUGACAAAAAUGUACAAACGUCCAAAAAUAUUCCAAAGUUAAGUUUGCCUUCAGAGGCGAAGUACUGUGAUGUGCCUUAUACUAUUAGCCCAUUGACUAAUGAACAGAAAAGUGCUAGGACCUCUGUGCCUAAUGUGAAUCCUAAUAUGAUGAGAGGUGGUUGGCCACCUGGUGGGGCAGCCAUCCGAGGUGCCCCACCCUAUGCAGCCCCUGAGAUGUACCAGUACCCCGAGUACUCCAACUGCAUGCCUCCCCGAGCCCUGCAAGCCGCCCGACCAGCUCAGCCAGGACAUGAAGAACAAGCACAUGUGUACACUGACCCCUACAGAGGUGGAAACAUUCGGUAUGAGCCAUACCCUUCUGUUAAAGAUAGAGCACCAAGGUAUGAGUAUAUUAACUAUCCAACUUACUCACCUCAUCAUUACCCACCUAAAUAUCAGGUUCCAAAAAUGGCAGGCAGUCCCGCAAUCCCUCCUGCUUAUCCUGGCUACCACCAUGUAGCCCACAAGUAUGUUAGGGAACCUCAUGGAUACCAAAGAUCUCCAAAUCCCCAACCAAAUUACAAUGUUCCUUAUCAUAAUCAAGGAAUGUAUCCCAACUAUGGGCCACCCCCAGGGAACUGCAUGCCCAACAAAAUGUAUGCAUAUCCUUCUGAUAGCCCAUACAAUUCAGUACCGGUACCAAAGCCCCCUUAUGAUAAUAGUAAAACAUAUGUAAAGUAUGACAAUUUACCAUCAAAACAGUACCCUUCCGAAAAUAUGUAUCUUAAUGAUUUGACGCGAUCUAAGAUGCCAAUGAGUAUGCCUAACUAUCCUCCUGGGAAUAUGCAUCAGAUGCCAUCUUAUCCUUACUAUAGGAAAGAUGUUCCCCUAAGAACCUAUGAUCUUGCACAAUUCAAGAAUGCUGAAGCAGCCUAUAAUACUCAAAUGUCUAGAAUUCAGCCACAGUUUUCUUCUAAUGUCAUGUCACCAAUGGAAUCAAAAUCAAGCAGUGACAUUAAUACAUUUGCUAUUUCACCUGAAGAUUGUGGUUAUGCUAGCCAAUCAUCUACUACUAGUAUUAGAAGCACUGAUUCAGCAAUGAACAUGUACUAUCAAUAUGGUCACAUGAAUAGAGGCUCUCCAGUUACACCAAGAAGUGAAGCAGAUGCCAAAAGUAGAAAUAAGGACAAAAAGGGAAUAGAUGUACGACAGUUCCUAUCAAUGUGGAAUGAAGGAGAGGAAGAGAACACUGAAAAUACUAAUAAAGAAGGUAUAAAACAAACAAAUACAACUGAUGCUAAAACAAAUUCUGAGCUAUAUGUGCUAGGUUUAGUUAAUGUUCCCAGUGAGGAGCUUGCAAAAUAUGAACAUAUACAGAAAGUCUCAAAAUUACCUGAAAAUAUUAAAGGUUACAGUAGCAUUGAUUUGUUGAAUCAGUUUGAAGAGGUAAUUGAGUCUUCAAAUAUAAAUAAUUAUCGCAUAAGGACGCCAAAUACGAAAGAAGUCCAAAUUGCAAAUAAUACAAACAUUACAAAGACUGUGAACAUGCAAUCGCGGCCCCUAUCUCCUUUAGAUGUUGAAUCUAAAAUAAGCCAAUCGGUAAUUCACAAAGAAGUAGGCUGCAACUUUGAAAUAAAACCUUGCAGCCCUAAAAUGCUAAAUGUGGAGAUGGCUGCUCCAGUGCAGACUAUAAUAGAAGAAAGGAUUAUAGAAAAAGUCACAAACAAAAUAGUUCAACAGGCACCAAAUAUAGUGCCUACCAGUGAAAACAAUAAAGGUAACACUCAUGUCAUAAUACAUCAGAAUAGACCAUUGACCACUAAUGAAAAUUCAACCAUAUCAAGUUGCAAAAUGGCUAAAACUCAAUUUGUAACUGAUGCAUCAAGAUUGCCCGAAAAAUCUAACUACAGUCUUCACGACCUCGAAAGUAAUUCUGGAGUGUGUUUGGCUUCAUUACCACGGCUUGACAAUGAAAUUGAAUUAAGUUUCCCUGAAGUAAAUCAACAAUUCAUUAAUGCUAACAAAACUGAUUCUGUCAUAGCAAUGACCAGCAAUGACAUACCAAUAAUAUGCACACAGGGUGAUGAAACCAAAAACAAACAUGAUAAUGAAACCAAAGAACCAGUCAAAUCACCAUUCUCACCGGGUUUAAAAGAGCAAUCUAGACUAAGUAAGUACAGGAAAAGUAAAACAAAUAAAGAAUUCGAACAUUCCUCAUAUAUAAAUGCACAGGCAUCAAGAACUGAUAGUGUUAUUAUUAAAAACCCAGAAAAUUAUGAGAAAUCUGAUAACAUCCCAACAAAACCCAUGAUCCUAACUGAAAAAAGUGAAACAGUAGUGAAUUUAGGAGAAGUUAUAACUUCACCUAUUAACUUAGCAUUAACUGUUAACGAAAAUGUUAGUACUUCUGAAUCAAAAUCUAACUGUCAAGAAAUACCUGACUGCAGUGAAAACUUUGAUCAAAACAGAAGUAGCUGUCUUGAAAAUCAUUGUGCGAUUAAUCUUAGUUUGGACUACUCUAAUAAAAAUUUGAUCAAUAACUGUGAGGAAAGCGAAAAAAUAUGUGAUUCAAACUCAUCAAAAGUGGAUCAUUCCGAAAACAAGGUGAUUGAAUUCAUUUCUAACAAAUCACAAAGUUCAUCUGUGUCAAAUAAUAUGACAACAGAAAUGAGUGAAAGUGUAAAUAACAUAAAAAAAUAUUGCCCGGAUAGUAACCAAGUUUUCUCAAACGAAUUAACCAAUGUCAAUUCAGAAAAUUCUGAAUAUGACUUAAAUACCACCACAAAAGUCUCAUGCCAAGGAAACGACUUCAAAGAAUGCAAAAGUAACGAUUACGAAAGCGAUUCUUUUGAAGACGAAGACAACCUUGAUAAGCCACUAGAUAAACCAGGUAUAUUAAGACUUUUAGAAGAACGAGUAAAUGAUUUACCUGAUACAUUAUUAACACCACUAUCUGACUCCACAAUAAAUGAUGCUUCGCAGGAUGCUAUAUUGAGCGACACAGAUAAUUUUGACGAUAUUAAUGAAGAGUGCAUUUUAAAUUGUAGGACAGAAGGUAGUGAGGCUGCUUCUUCAUUUAUUGGUGCUUUUGAAAAUAGGUCACCGAGGGACUUGGAUCAAACUGAAGACAGAUCAUGUUUUAUUUCCGAAUGCAGUCGAAACAUCUUACAAAAUGGACCUGAAUUUACAACUGAUGGUUCAGAUAAACUAAAUAUGAUUGAACCCAAUAAGAUAAUGGAUUGUGGCACUCCAGGAAAUCACGAUUUUCAAGAUGAAACUAAAAGAAUGGAGAGUGAUGUAGUUGAAAAUGGGUCAACUGACAUUCCGUCAAGUAUAAUUGAGGAUAAGUUCAAAGUUUCGGACGAGGAAAUAAAAAAUGAAAUAAAUGUAUUUCUAGAUGAUCAUAGUAAUGAAUCAAAGGAUGGCUUAGAAAAUAUAGAUGAUCAUGAUGUGACCUUUACGCAUGCUCCUGAUGAAAUAAUUGACGCAUCAGUACUAGCACACGUUACCAAUAAUACCCUGAAAAGUCAAGAAUCAAUAACUGAUUUCAACUGUGUAGACUCUUUCAGUGAAAGAAUGUGUGACAGUAAAAUACCAAAUAAACCAUCUUCGCCAAAAUCUUUGAAUUUUAAUAGUAAUGACGAUCAUAGCAUUACUGUAAAUAAACCAAUUUGUAUCCCGAAAGCAUGUAACUGGUGUAAUAAAAGGUUACUGUCAUUGGUAUUGCAAAAUCUCAUCCUUUACCCCGAAGGUUUUUGUAGCAUCAAAAGUAAUUUGCAAUGUACAAAUGGCAAUGGUUUAAAAACUUUUGAUUCAGAUAUUGAAAAAUUUGCUAACCAAAUUUUACCUGAAGAAUCUUAUCAAAGAGAUAAAAUAAUUGUACUUACACCAGGAACUGAUACUUGCAGUGAAAAUGUUAUAAAUGAAACACCAGAAACUGAUACUUACACUGAAAAUUUUAUAAAUGAAACACCAGGAACUGAAACUUGCAAUGAAAAUGUUAUAAAUGAAACACCAGUAACUGAAACUUGCCAUGAAAAUGUUAUAAAUGAAUUUCCCGCAACUGAAGGUUGUAAUGAAAAUGUUAUAAUUGAAAAUAUAUCGACCAAAGUUGCCGAUAGCGAAGAAGAAAAGGAAAAAAACUGUAGUGCAGAUUAUAAUGGUGACUCCACAAUAAAUGAACCUGAAUUUUCACUUCAUCAUGAAAAUACGUGCGAUAAUAUUGAUGAAAUAGGUGACAAAGGUACGGAACGUAAUGAAAAUAGUAAUAUGCCGAUUGAUAACACAUGCGAUAAUGAUAUAAAUUUACUAAACAAUGAGUGUGAAACAAGCCUUUCUAGUAAUCCUGCAGAAAGACCUGACGUGCAAAAUGAUACAAAAGAUGAUACUCAUAAUAAAUCCAAUAAAAGUGCUAGAGAACAAAACGGCUCAAAUUUUCCUCUUGCUUGCCGCCGGACACUUAAAAGAUCUUUGUCAGAAUCAGCUUUAAACACAAACUCAUAUGAUGAAUUCAGAAAACAGACAGAUUCAAAUUGCGGAAACAGAAUUUCUCUAUGGCCAAAUAAACGGAAGCGGACAAACGAUACUUCUGAUGAUGAAUCAAACUCUUCAAGUAAUGAAAACAACACAACUAUAAAUCGACGAAAAUCUAUGUCGUCGGCAUAUCAUGAAGGUAACAUUUCUUUUUGUAUACUCAUCGACAACGAUUGUAUCUUAACAGAAGAUCAAUAUAGUGAAGGAACAGUUUGUUUUGCUAAUAUACAAGAAGAGGAUUACGAUACUGUAGUAAGUAAUCAAUUUGAGCCUGAAGAUUUGGAAUGCCAGUCUGUUGAUCCUGUGGCCCAACAAGAUGUAGUUGGUGAGUUUUCUGAACCAUUCGAAAUGAUAGACAAGGUAAUAGAUGAAAAUUGGGUUGAAGAUGUUGCUUGUGUUGAAACCGUGGUGACUGACGAUGCAGUGGAAGAUGACGACGAUGAAGUAUUCAUGGACAGAUCUUCGAGAUCUUCGCCGGGCGACGACAUGUUUGAUCAUACUGAUAAAAUUAAGACCAUAUACGGAGAUGAAAUGUGUAGUGGUGAUAUUGAUCUUAUAAAAACUUUAUACGCCACCCCACAAAUGAAUAUGAACAAAACACUCCAAGGUAAUGAAUCUCUCGCUGAAAGUCCGAACCAACAUGAGGAUGAUGAAUUAGAAAGACUGCUUUCUGGUCCUGGUGACAACAAAGAUGAUAAUGAAUCGCAAUACGUCGAAUCUGAAGAUUAUGUUAAUGACCAUGAAGAACAGGUCGUUUCAACAGAACAUAAUGAUGUCGCAGUUGUUGAUAACAAUGAUGAUGUCAAUGAAAAUGAACCUAGUGAAGUUUCUACAAAACAAUUAUCGUCGAAUGAUGCAGUACAUUCCUGUGAAAAUGGGCUCAGUGAACCUUUCUCAAGAGCUCUGGUGAAAAAUGACCCUAAAUAUAAGCGAUCUAGUGCUUCGCCCGAAGUAUCUUCUACGACAGAAGAGAAAAAGAGUGGAAUACUAUUGAAAAUUACAAACUAUAACGGAUCGCGCAUGUCACAUCUAAAUAACAUUGAUUUAGAUUCAAGCAAAAGAAUACGAUGUAAAUUUACGGAGAACAGUGAUUAUUCUGUUUGCAACAAAGACAGCACGGCACGCCCAUUAAUUACAAAAGCUGCGCAAAAAUAUAUACCACCGAUAAAAGAAACAAUAAGAGACCUAAAAGUUAAAUUAUUUUUACCCCAACCUAAUUUAAUGAAACUUAAACAAUUGAAGCUGUGCAAGGAGGAACCUAAGGUCGCCGUGCAAAGGCAUUUGAAAAAUGGACGACCAAACUUCAACAGAAGUCAAUCUGAAAUUGUGAAAAAGCCCAAGCCGAAGUUCGAGGAUGUGCUGAUGAGUAUCGAUGAAAUACAAAUUAAACAGCACAAAGAGAAAAGUAAAAAGAGAAAUUCUAUCCCUAAGGUGAUAAUAAAAAAAACGGAGAAUGGUUCCCAUUACGCGAGCUCGUCGGCACAGGCCUACACCCCCGACCUCACCGGGAGGAAGUGGCAGCCCUGGGUGUUCCUGGACAAAAAUACAUUUAUCGACAAAAUGGCUCUGAAAGGGAAGAAAACGGCAAUUUUCUGUCGCAGAAAAAAUACCUACGUAUUGAGUGAAAGUUUUCACAAAUACAAAGCAGUGGGUAGCGCAAACUUCGUGAUAUCGCGACCGAAGCCAGGUGACUCUCCCGCGCCUUUGAAGUAUACCAUAAAGUUAAAGCAAAGCUACUGAGUAGGCUUAACCAUGCAGUUCCCUGGGAUGUAGCUUUGAAAGUUAUUUAUUUAUUUAUCCACAAUAAAUAUUUUAACCACUUUACCGUGUGCAUUCUUCACGCAUCAUUCCGUGAGAGUGCCGUUAGCGGUUACCUUUCCAAAGUUAGCUAGUUUAAUUUUAAAUAUUAUGUGUAUCUAUACAAAGCCAAAAUCGUUGAUGUGAUAUGAUAUGAAAGACACAAAUUAUUUACCAUAAUGUUCAAAAAUAUUAAUUCGAUCUGAAGUUAUUAUUUUGUUGUUAUUUGCAAAGUUUAUUAGUAAGUAAUGAUUUGAUAAUCAUUCCAUUUUUACGUAAAAAAUAUAUGCUUGGGUGUACGUGCAGGGUGGGUUUAUAUCAGUGGCUGACCCUUAGGCACGUCAUCAACACCAAUACCUUCGGGUCGGCCACUGUCCAAUUUCAACCCUGUACCUUAUACCUUUGUGUAUUAAAAUAAGUGUUGCACCAACGCACGUUUUAGCCAUAAUGAGUAUUAUUGUAUUUAUUUCUUAGCUGUCGGAAAAUAAUUGAUAUUGUUAAGUUAUAUUGUAAUUAUUCUAGAUGAAGUAGAAUCAAACAUUGCUCAAGAUGAAUGUCUUUUUAAACAAUAAUUUUUUUUUAUCAUGCCCUUAAUUGAGGACAAAUUAUAUAUAAUUUAUGUACAUAUUUGGGAAAAACAUGUAUUCGUGUGAAUUUUUGAUGUGUAUAUUGUAAUGAAUGUAACGUUGUUGUCUAAUUUUAUAGAGGAGGUGAAAUGGUAUAAUACAUACAUUUCUGCAGAAACAUUGGUAAACACACAUGUAAAGAAUGAGCUUAAUCGCGAUGAGUGCUUUCUCUAAUAUACCGUCGUAGUACAAAUAGCUGCAGACCAAUACAAGCUACAAACAUUUUUAAAGCUUAUAUGUAUAUUAGCUUUAUAUAUUACAGAUAAAAAUCAUACAGCCCAAAGGGCCACAAUCAUCCUAUAAAAUCGUUCCCUUCUGAAGGAGCUUUUAAAUUGGAACACCUAAUAUUUUAAUUUAUAGAUGCUCCUUCUUGUUAAUCUAACUUUAGCCGUAACAUGUAAGUUCCUACAUAUUGUACCGAAAUAAACUGGUGUUUUCAAGAAAUAACAUAAUUAUAUCAUACUCUAAUUCGGAACCAAAACGGAAAAAUAUACGAAAAUAUUUUUUUAAAUGUGUAGCAAGAAUAACUACUAAUAUAAAUAAGCUUACGGUUCAAAGUACCUCCCUACCUACUGAAGCAUAAUGUGUACCUUUGCAUGAUCGAUAAAUUUUAUAUACGACGUAGGUAAUUUUAUGUAUGUUAGUGGUGUGUCGCAAGAGUAACAUAAAAAUUGGGUGCAAUAAAAGUAUAACCGUGAAAUGACUAGAGUGAUAUCGAAGAUUAACAAAAAUGCGAUGUUGGUUUGGCGAUGCCACGUGACGUGAUAACUUAAAAUGUACCUACCAUUAAUGUGCCUAUAUGUAUUUAAUUUGCAAAAUAUACCUGACUUACGAUGUUGCAACUUUUUGUAUUGUUAGUAGUUUGUUAAAGAAUUUGCAAUUUGUUCAGAAUGUGCUUUGUCUGCACAUGAGUGCCUUUACACCGAGCUCUUGUUAAAUAUAUAUCAGAUUUUAAAAGAAUUGAAUUUUUGAGAAAUAUCUACUGAUCUCAUAAUAGGGCACACGCCAUUUAUAUGUAUAUUGUAAAAUGCCUCAUUGUGCCUAUAAUCCAUGAAAAUACACUAUUUUUGUGUCAUGUACAGGGUGUUUAAAAUCAUACCAAAUUAAUGUGCUUUUAUUUAAUCCUGCAAUAUAUUAUAAUUUUUGCCUUCUAAGCUAUAGAAAAGUAAUUUGUAAAUAGUAGUUGGAACCUACCUAAUGUGUGGUAAAUUAUAUGUUAAUUUUUUAACUUGUACCUAUCUUUAAUUAACUUAAUUUUAACAGUGUAAAAUUAAUUAUUUUAUUGAGUUAAGUUAAAAUACUUCGUUAUGAAAGAAGUUCGUGUUUUAAAUCGUAAUAAUAAUCAUGUAGAUUAACUGGAUCAGUUUGGAGACAACAGGGCUGAAGGCCUAGCACGGGGCGCGAAACGCGCCCACAUUCACCGCAUUCACGAAAGACGCGCGCGUCUCGCGCCCCGUGCUAGGCUAGCAGGAUAAUAUACUCUGCUUUGUCUGAUAUACCUACCUAUUUUAAAUUACCACCAGACAACAUAUCCAUAAUACUAUUUGUAAAUAAGAAUUAUAUUCGCCUGCGGGCUUAUAUUUUGAGGCUGAUAUAUAAGAUAUAUUACUGAAUAUUCUGUAUAUCGCAGAAAUUAUCACUUAUAUACACAUAACUAAAUACGUCCCCUACGACGAAAGGUUUUUAUGUUUUAAAAUUUUAUUUAUAUCUAUUUUUGUUUACUAUUAAGUAUGUUUGUUAUGCACUGUUGAGUGGUCUACAUAAAUUUUAAAGCACUUUGUUGGUCGUUGUUUGAAUUACCUUUAUUAUAUUAAUUAGAGAAUAUUAUGUGGUUGGAUAAGUUUAUUAAGGGUAAAGGAUUUAUGGUAAUUGUUAAUAAUAUAUAUGUUUCUCUUAUUGUUUAAAUGCCAGUAACGCACGUGAUAGUGUUCGUGAUAGAUAUAAUACCAAAACAUAAUGUCAGGCGUCCCGGGUAUAUACUUACCUAAUUAUAUAUUGUAAUAAAUUACAUUAUAUACUCCGAGCGGCGUACGCCAUAAAUGUGUGAAAUUUUCAUUUGUUUUUGGAUUUCCUUUCGCGUGAUUCCUAACAGAUAUUUUCAGAAGUUGACCAAAUAAAUGUGUUCUUGAUAAGACAAAA